rnacentral:tRNA from 1 species
CGGGAUAGCUCAGUUGGUAGAGCAGAGGACUGAAA